rnacentral:rRNA from 1 species
UAAUUCCAAAAUUCUUGUACAUCACUAGGACGUUGGAACGUUAACGCUCAGCGCUUUCCAAUCUUUAUGAUUAGCUAAUUUUAUCUAAGUUUAGCCACAAUAGUCUCAAAGGACUAUCGUUUUACGCAGCAGUAAGUCAUAUUGGACAAUCGUUACAAACGGAUCCAGCAACGCUCACA